ACAAGUGAUAUCACAAAGAAAGACUGACUAAAUUUUAACUACCCCUCUAACGGGACCCAGCUAAAACACAUAACAGAAGCUUGGCCCUCCUUGAAGACCUGAACUGCCCAAACUAAUCCUAUUUACCAGACUUUGUUUGGGAAACAAGUGAUAUCACAAAGAAAGACUGACUAAAUUUUAACUACCCCUCUAACGGGACCCAGCUAAAACACAUAACAGAAGCUUGGCCCUCCUUGAAGACCUGAACUGCCCAAACUAAUCCUAUUUACCAGACUUUGUUUGGGAAACAAGUGAUAUCACAAAGAAAGACUGACUAAAUUUUAACUACCCCUCUAACGGGACCCAGCUAAAACACAUAACAGAAGCUUGGCCCUCCUUGAAGACCUGAACUGCCCAAACUAAUCCUAUUUACCAGACUUUGUUUGGGAAACAAGUGAUAUCACAAAGAAAGACUGACUAAAUUUUAACUACCCCUCUAACGGGACCCAGCUAAAACACAUAACAGAAGCUUGGCCCUCCUUGAAGACCUGAACUGCCCAAACUAAUCCUAUUUACCAGACUUUGUUUGGGAAACAAGUGAUAUCACAAAGAAAGACUGACUAAGUAUGUUUUAACUAUAUAUAUGUCCCUGUAUAUUUGAAGUGUGUUCCUAGCCUAACUACCUGCCCAGGCCUACCAGCAGCCAGCAACUCUCCCUAUAUCUUACUGCCCAGACCCUUACUCCUACUC